ensembl:snRNA U6 U6 spliceosomal RNA
GUGCUUGUUUCGGCAGCACAUAUACUAAAUUUGGAAUGAUAGAGAGAUUAGCAUGGCCCCUGUGCAAGGAUGACACGCAAAUUCAUGAAGUGUUCCAUACUUAA